CUACGUGCCAGCAGCCGCGGUAAUACGUAGGACGCGAGCGUUGUCCGGAAUUAUUGGGCGUAAAGAGCUUGUAGGCGGUUUGUCGCGUCUGCUGUGAAAGGCCGGGGCUUAACUCCGUGUAUUGCAGUGGGUACGGGCAGACUAGAGUGCAGUAGGGGAGACUGGAAUUCCUGGUGUAGCGGUGGAAUGCGCAGAUAUCAGGAGGAACACCGAUGGCGAAGGCAGGUCUCUGGGCUGUAACUGACGCUGAGAAGCGAAAGCAUGGGGAGCGAACAGGAUUAGAUACCCUGGUAGUCCACGCUGUAAACGAUGUCGAUUUGGGGGUUGAGCUUUGAGCUUGGCGCCCGUAGCUAACGUGAUAAAUCGACCGCCUGGGGAGUACGGCCGCAAGGUUAAAACUCAAAUGAAUUGACGGGGGCCCGCACAAGCGGUGGAGCAUGUGGUUUAAUUCGAUGCAACGCGAAGAACCUUACCUACUCUUGACAUCCAGA
rnacentral:rRNA from 1 species